rnacentral:rRNA from 1 species
AUGAACGCUGGCGGCGCGCCUAACACAUGCAAGUCGAACGGCACCUAUCUUCGGAUAGAAGCGAGUGGCGAACGGCUGAGUAACACGUGGAGAACCUGCCCCCUCCCCCGGGAUAGCCGCCCGAAAGGACGGGUAAUACCGGAUACCCCGGGGUGCCGCAUGGCACCCCGGCUAAAGCCCCGACGGGAGGGGAUGGCUCCGCGGCCCAUCAGGUAGACGGCGGGGUGACGGCCCACCGUGCCGACAACGGGUAGCCGGGUUGAGAGACCGACCGGCCAGAUUGGGACUGAGACACGGCCCAGACUCCUACGGGAGGCAGCAGUGGGGAAUCUUGCGCAAUGGGGGGAACCCUGACGCAGCGACGCCGCGUGCGGGACGGAGGCCUUCGGGUCGUAAACCGCUUUCAGCAGGGAAGAGUCAAGACUGUACCUGCAGAAGAAGCCCCGGCUAACUACGUGCCAGCAGCCGCGGUAAUACGUAGGGGGCGAGCGUUAUCCGGAUUCAUUGGGCGUAAAGCGCGCGUAGGCGGCCCGGCAGGCCGGGGGUCGAAGCGGGGGGCUCAACCCCCCGAAGCCCCCGGAACCUCCGCGGCUUGGGUCCGGUAGGGGAGGGUGGAACACCCGGUGUAGCGGUGGAAUGCGCAGAUAUCGGGUGGAACACCGGUGGCGAAGGCGGCCCUCUGGGCCGAGACCGACGCUGAGGCGCGAAAGCUGGGGGAGCGAACAGGAUUAGAUACCCUGGUAGUCCCAGCCGUAAACGAUGGACGCUAGGUGUGGGGGGACGAUCCCCCCGUGCCGCAGCCAACGCAUUAAGCGUCCCGCCUGGGGAGUACGGCCGCAAGGCUAAAACUCAAAGGAAUUGACGGGGGCCCGCACAAGCAGCGGAGCAUGUGGCUUAAUUCGAAGCAACGCGAAGAACCUUACCAGGUCUUGACAUCCUUCUGACCACUCCGUAAUGGGAGCUUUCCUUCGGGACAGAAGAGACAGGUGGUGCAUGGUUGUCGUCAGCUCGUGUCGUGAGAUGUUGGGUUAAGUCCCGCAACGAGCGCAACCCCCGCCGCGUGUUGCCAUCGGGUGAUGCCGGGAACCCACGCGGGACCGCCGCCGUCAAGGCGGAGGAGGGCGGGGACGACGUCAAGUCAUCAUGCCCCUUAUGCCCUGGGCUGCACACGUGCUACAAUGGCCGGUACAGAGGGAUGCCACCCCGCGAGGGGGAGCGGAUCCCGGAAAGCCGGCCCCAGUUCGGAUUGGGGGCUGCAACCCGCCCCCAUGAAGUCGGAGUUGCUAGUAAUCGCGGAUCAGCAUGCCGCGGUGAAUGCGUUCCCGGGCCUUGUACACACCGCCCGUCACACCACCCGAGUCGUCUGCACCCGAAGUCGCCGGCCCAACCUUUCGAGGGGGGAGGCGCCGAAGGUGUGGAGGGUGAGGGGGGUG